rfam:Clostridium roseum strain DSM 7320 CROST_contig000078, whole genome shotgun sequence.
CUGUGCUAGACGGGGAGUCAGCGGUGCCUUGUACCUGCAAUCCGCUAUAGCAGGGUUGAAUUCCUUGUUUGAGGCUUCAAUUUGUGGGGUUUGUCUCAUUUUAAUCAAUGUUGAUAAUCGGGUCCCACGCAACGAAAAUUCAUGAACUCCGUCAGGUCCGGAAGGAAGCAGCGGUAAGUGAAACCUUUCGUGUGCCGUGGACAAAUCUGGUUUGAGUUGAUUGGAUGAGUAGCAACCAUAAAUUGCUGUCGAUUCAAGGUGCACAG